rnacentral:lncRNA from 1 species
GAUUGGCUUUCCUCUUCUCCGCUGUCUCAAAAGGAGAUGAUGCAACUCGCCGAGGAGCUUUCGAGGGAGCGGAUUGCGUCAGGCGGCCCUCGCCUCGGGCGCAGCUUGGUGGGGAGAAGGCGGCAAAGGUGGAUGCUCCUCUAUUUCGUUUCACCAUGUGAUAAGAUUGGACAGCAGCUCUGAAAAGACUGAAGGCCCACUGUGCCAAGCGCCCACCUCUCGCCUGGAGCAACCUGAAGAAGUAGAAGUGGCUCUACUCUCCCUUCUCCCUCAACAUGUCUUCACUGGUGGCCAAUGUAACCAAGAAGAAGCUGAAUUCCAACCACGACGGGGCUGAGAUUUCUGACAAAAAGCAACAGGAAACAGUUGAACAUAUUGAUGAAGUAUAGAAUGAAAUAAACAGACUGAAAGCUGUUACUUUUUGUAUAAAGUCAAUUAAUUGCUAGUCUUAGCAUACCGCAAAACAUAUACAUUUUCAGAAUUGUUUUUGUGAAGGUUAAAACUGUUAAAAAUGAAAUGAAACACUGAUACGAUGAUUGGCAUUUUUACCAUUUUUUAAUUGCUGUUUGACGUAUUCCAUAUUGUCAUAGUUAUAUUGCAAAGAGGCAUUCUUAGCAGUAGCAGCUAAUCAAAAGCAUAUACCGUAUAUACUCGCAUAUAAGCCGAUCUCGCAUAUAAGCCGACCCUUAAAAAACUGCCCCAAAAUGAGGAAUCUGCCGCAUAUAAAUUGAGGAUAUUUUGUUCA